GACGAACGCUGGCGGCGUGCUUAACACAUGCAAGUCGAACGGAAAGGCCCUGCUUUUGUGGGGUGCUCGAGCGGCGAACGGGUGAGUAACACGUGAGUAACCUGCCCUUGACUUUGGGAUAACUUCAGGAAACUGGGGCUAAUACCGGAUAGGAGCUCCUGCUGCAUGGUGGGGGUUGGAAAGUUUCGGCGGUUGGGGAUGGACUCGCGACUUAUCAGCUUGUUGGUGGGGUAGUGGCUUACCAAGGCUUUGACGGGUAGCCGGCCUGAGAGGGUGACCGGCCACAUUGGGACUGAGAUACGGCCCAGACUCCUACGGGAGGCAGCAGUGGGGAAUAUUGCACAAUGGGCGGAAGCCUGAUGCAGCAACGCCGCGUGCGGGAUGACGGCCUUCGGGUUGUAAACCGCUUUCGCCUGUGACGAAGCGUGAGUGACGGUAAUGGGUAAAGAAGCACCGGCUAACUACGUG
rnacentral:rRNA from 1 species